UACGAAGGGGGCUAGCGUUGCUCGGAAUCACUGGGCGUAAAGGGUGCGUAGGCGGGUCUUUUAAGUCAGGGGUGAAAUCCUGGAGCUCAACUCCAGAACUGCCUUUGAUACUGAGGAUCUUGAGUUCGGGAGAGGUGAGUGGAACUGCGAGUGUAGAGGUGAAAUUCGUAGAUAUUCGCAAGAACACCAGUGGCGAAGGCGGCUCACUGGCCCGAUACCGACGCUGAGGCACGAAAGCGUGGGGGAGCAAACAGG
rnacentral:rRNA from 1 species